rnacentral:rRNA from 1 species
UACGAAGGGGGCUAGCGUUGCUCGGAAUUACUGGGCGUAAAGCGCACGUAGGCGGUCUUUUAAGUCGGGGGUGAAAUCCUGGAGCUCAACUCCAGAACUGCCUUUGAUACUGAAGAUCUUGAGUCCGGGAGAGGUGAGUGGAACUGCGAGUGUAGAGGUGAAAUUCGUAGAUAUUCGCAAGAACACCAGUGGCGAAGGCAGCCCCCUGGGAUAACACUGACGCUCAUGCACGAAAGCGUGGGGAGCAAACAGGG